rnacentral:rRNA from 1 species
UACAGGGGGGGCAAGCGUUGUUCGGAAUUACUGGGCGUAAAGGGCUCGUAGGCGGCCAACUAAGUCACACGUGAAAUCCCCAGGCUUAACCUGGAAACUGCGUGUGAUACUGGGUGGCUUGAAUCCGGGAGAGGGAUGCGGAAUUCCAGGUGUAGCGGUGAAAUGCGUAGAUAUCUGGAGGAACACCGGUGGCGAAGGCGGCAUCCUGGACCGGUAUUGACGCUGAUGAGCGAAAGCCAGGGGAGCAAACGGG